GAUGAACGCUGGCGGCGUGCUUAACACAUGCAAGUCGAACGAUGAAGCCCAGCUUGCUGGGUGGAUUAGUGGCGAACGGGUGAGUAACACGUGAGUAACCUGCCCUUAACUCUGGGAUAAGCCUGGGAAACUGGGUCUAAUACCGGAUAGGAGCGUCCACCGCAUGGUGGGUGUUGGAAAGAUUUAUCGGUUUUGGAUGGACUCGCGGCCUAUCAGCUUGUUGGUGAGGUAAUGGAUCACCAAGGCGACGACGGGUAGCCGGCCUGAGAGGGUGACCGGCCACACUGGGACUGAGACACGGCCCAGACUCCUACGGGAGGCAGCAGUGGGGAAUAUUACACAAUGGGCGCAAGCCUGGUGCAGCGACGCCGCGUGAGGGAUGACGGCCUUCGGGUUGUAAACCUCUUUCAGUAGGGAAGAAGCGAAAGUGACGGUACCUGCAGAAGAAGCACCGGCUAACUACGUG
rnacentral:rRNA from 1 species